rnacentral:ncRNA from 2 species
AUAAUUUUAAGACAUAACAGAUGUAUAACCUCAAUAAUAUGGUUUGAGGGUCUCUACCAGGAACCAAAAAAUCCUGAUUACAAAAUGGUGUUAUCUAUUU